rnacentral:rRNA from 1 species
CCCCUAGAUGUUCUGGGCCGCACGCGCGCUACACUGAACAGUUCAACAAGUCUUAACCUUGGCCGAUAGGUCUGGGUAAUCUUUGAACGCUGUUCGUGACUGGGAUAGACCUUUGCAAUUAUGGGUCUUCAACGAGGAAUUCCUAGUAAACGCAAGUCAUCAGCUUGCAUUGAUUACGUCCCUGCCCUUUGUACACACCGCCCGUCGCACCUACCGAUUGAAUGGUCCGGUGAAAUCUCGGGACGGCGGCUUGGUCGCUUGCGUCCGACUGCUGAAACUUGAUUAAACCAUAUCAUUUAGAGGAAGGAGAAGUCGUAACA